rnacentral:rRNA from 1 species
UACAGAGGCCUCAAGCGUUAGGCGGAAUCACUGGGCUUAAAGCGUGUGUAGGCGGGUCGUUAAGUGCCUUGUGAAAUCCCACGGCUUAACCGUGGAACUGCUUGGUAUACUGGUUCUCUUGGGCCAUCUAGGGGCUACUGGAACAAACGGUGGAGCGGUGAAAUGCGUAGAUAUCGUUUGGAACGCCAAUGGUGAAAACAAGUAGCUGGGGAUGUGCCGACGCUGAGACACGAAAGCCAGGGGAGCGAACGGG